UACGAAGGUCCCAAGCGUUAUCCGGAUUUAUUGGGUUUAAAGGGUGCGUAGGCGGGCUAUUAAGUCAGUGGUGAAAGCCCCCGGCCUAACCGGGGAACUGCCAUUGAUACUGAUGGUCUUGAGUACAUUUGAGGUGGGCGGAAUGUGUCAUGUAGCGGUGAAAUGCUUAGAUAUGACACAGAACACCGAUUGCGAAGGCAGCUCACUAAACUGUAACUGACGCUGAGGCACGGAAAGCGUGGGGAGCAAACAGG
rnacentral:rRNA from 1 species